rnacentral:rRNA from 1 species
AGAGUUUGAUAUCUGGCUCAGGACGAACGCUGGCGGCGUGCCUAAUACAUGCAAGUCGAGCGGACAGAUGGGAGCUUGCUCCCUGAUGUUAGCGGCGGACGGGUGAGUAACACGUGGGUAACCUGCCUGUAAGACUGGGAUAACUCCGGGAAACCGGGGCUAAUACCGGAUGGUUGUUUGAACCGCAUGGUUCAAACAUAAAAGGUGGCUUCGGCUACCACUUACAGAUGGACCCGCGGCGCAUUAGCUAGUUGGUGAGGUAACGGCUCACCAAGGCAACGAUGCGUAGCCGACCUGAGAGGGUGAUCGGCCACACUGGGACUGAGACACGGCCCAGACUCCUACGGGAGGCAGCAGUAGGGAAUCUUCCGCAAUGGACGAAAGUCUGACGGAGCAACGCCGCGUGAGUGAUGAAGGUUUUCGGAUCGUAAAGCUCUGUUGUUAGGGAAGAACAAGUACCGUUCGAAUAGGGCGGUACCUUGACGGUACCUAACCAGAAAGCCACGGCUAACUACGUGCCAGCAGCCGCGGUAAUACGUAGGUGGCAAGCGUUGUCCGGAAUUAUUGGGCGUAAAGGGCUCGCAGGCGGUUUCUUAAGUCUGAUGUGAAAGCCCCCGGCUCAACCGGGGAGGGUCAUUGGAAACUGGGGAACUUGAGUGCAGAAGAGGAGAGUGGAAUUCCACGUGUAGCGGUGAAAUGCGUAGAGAUGUGGAGGAACACCAGUGGCGAAGGCGACUCUCUGGUCUGUAACUGACGCUGAGGAGCGAAAGCGUGGGGAGCGAACAGGAUUAGAUACCCUGGUAGUCCACGCCGUAAACGAUGAGUGCUAAGUGUUAGGGGGUUUCCGCCCCUUAGUGCUGCAGCUAACGCAUUAAGCACUCCGCCUGGGGAGACCGG